CCCUUAGAUGUUCUGGGCCGCACGCGCGCUACACUGGUCAGUGCAACAAGCAUCCGUCCUUGGCCGACAGGCCCGGGCAAUCUUUGAACGCUGAUCGUGAUGGGGAUAGACUUUUGCAAUUUUUGGUCUUCAACGAGGAAUUCCUAGUAAACGCAAGUCAUCAACUUGCAUUGAUUACGUCCCUGCCCUUUGUACACACCGCCCGUCGCACCUACCGAUUGAAUGGUCCGGUGAAGCCUCCGGAUUGGCGUGCACCCUCGGGUGCUGCCGAGAAGUUGGCUAAACCUUACCAUUUAGAGGAAGGUGAAGUCGUAACA
rnacentral:rRNA from 1 species